CCUACGGGUGGCAGCAGUGGGGAAUAUUGGACAAUGGGCGAAAGCCUGAUCCAGCCAUGCCGCGUGUGUGAAGAAGGCCUUCGGGUUGUAAAGCACUUUCAGUGGGGAAGAAAGCCUUGGGGCUAAUACCCUCGAGGAAGGACAUCACCCACAGAAGAAGCACCGGCUAACUCCGUGCCAGCAGCCGCGGUAAUACGGAGGGUGCGGGCGUUAAUCGGAAUUACUGGGCGUAAAGCGCGCGUAGGCGGUCUGAUAAGCCGGUUGUGAAAGCCCCGGGCUCAACCUGGGAACGGCAUCCGGAACUGUCAGGCUAGAGUGCAGGAGAGGAAGGUAGAAUUCCCGGUGUAGCGGUGAAAUGCGUAGAGAUCGGGAGGAAUACCAGUGGCGAAGGCGGCCUUCUGGACUGACACUGACGCUGAGGUGCGAAAGCGUGGGUAGCAAACAGGAUUAGAUACCCCAGUAGUC
rnacentral:rRNA from 1 species